rnacentral:rRNA from 1 species
GAUGAACGCUGGCGGCGUGCUUAACACAUGCAAGUCGAACGAUGAAGCCCAGCUUGCUGGGUGGAUUAGUGGCGAACGGGUGAGUAACACGUGAGUAACCUGCCCUUGACUCUGGGAUAAGCCCGGGAAACUGGGUCUAAUACCGGAUAGGAGCGCCUGUCGCAUGACGGGUGUUGGAAAGAUUUUUCGGUCAUGGAUGGACUCGCGGCCUAUCAGCUUGUUGGUGAGGUAAUGGCUCACCAAGGCGACGACGGGUAGCCGGCCUGAGAGGGUGACCGGCCACACUGGGACUGAGACACGGCCCAGACUCCUACGGGAGGCAGCAGUGGGGAAUAUUGCACAAUGGGCGGAAGCCUGAUGCAGCGACGCCGCGUGAGGGAUGACGGCCUUCGGGUUGUAAACCUCUUUCAGUAGGGAAGAAGCGAAAGUGACGGUACCUGCAGAAGCAGCACCGGCUAACUACGUG